rnacentral:rRNA from 1 species
AUGGCGUUGGCCGCCGCCGCGUCGUCGGUCGGCGUCGCCUCCGUCGCUCUGCUCUUGCUCCUCAUCGCCAAUGCCUCGGCUUCGGAUGCUAGUUUGGAGGCGAGGCGUGCCUUGCCAGGUCGCGAGAUUCACCUUGAGCCAAUUGUCUACCCAGAAAAUGCACAGAGCACGGUGGGCUCAUCGCCAUGGAGGAGAUCGGCGGAGGAGACACCACCGUCGCCGGCGAACAACUCGCUCGUCCUCGCGGCGAAGAGGACCCGCCGGAACGACCCCAGCGCGAACAACACGAUGUACGGCGGCGGGUGGAACAUCAGCGAGAUGCAUUACUGGGCUUCCGUGGGCUACACCGGCGUCCCGUUCUUCUUUCUCGCCCUCGUCUGGUUCGUCGGCUUCGGGGUCGUCAUGCUCGUCAUCUCCUGCUGCUGGUGCUGCUGCUGCUUCUGCCGGGACCGGAGCGACGACUACUCGCCCGCCUCCUUCAACGCCUCCCUCAUCCUCCUCGUCAUCCUCACCAUCGCCACCAUCGUCGGGUGCCUGCUGCUGAACAUCGGGCAGAUGGCGUUCCACACGAGCACGACCAACACGGUGGACUACGUGGUGGGGCAGGGCAACCUGACGGUGGACAACCUGAGGAACUUCGCGGGGAGCCUGGCCGCCGCCAAGAACAUCGGCGUGGACCAGAUCUUCCUCCCCGUCGAGGUCCAGCGCAAGAUCGACGUCGUCGAGGAGAAGCUCAACUCCUCCGCCAACGAGUUCUCCGCCCGCAUCGUGCUCAACUCCGACAAGAUCAAGAACGUGGUUGACCUGAUGCAGGUAGCCCUGAUGGAUGUUGGAAGUAUCAUGCUUGUCCUUGCCAUACUCGGACUCAUAUUCUCCGUAUUGGGGCUGCAGUGUUUUGUCUCCCUGCUGGUGAUCGCCGGAUGGGUGUUCGUCACCGUCACCCUCAUGAUGGCCGGCGGCUUCGUCCUCCUGCACAACGUGGUGGGGGACACAUGCGUGGCCAUGGACGAGUGGGUGACGCACCCGCAGGACCACACGGCGCUGGACGACAUCCUCCCCUGCGUGGACGUGGGGACGGCGAACGAGUCCAUGCACCGGAGCGAGGAGGUGACGGCGCAGCUGGUGGCGCUCGUCAACAACGUCAUCGUCAACAUCUCCAACCGGGACUUCCCGCCGGGGCUGCAGCCGCUCUACUUCAACCAGUCGGGGCCCAAGAUGCCGGUGCUCUGCAACCCCUUGAAGCCGGACAUGAGCCCCCGCGAGUGCGCCUCCGGCGAGGUCGACUUCAAGACGGCGCCGGGGGAGUGGAAGAAGUUCCAGUGCCAGGCCAAGGGCCCCGCCGGGAAGGAGGUGUGCACGACGGUGGGGCGAGUGACGCCGGCGGCCUACAACCAGAUGACGGCGGCGGCGAGCAUCAGCAUGGGGCUGUACGAGUACGGGCCGUUCCUGAUGAACCUCCAGGACUGCACCUUCGUCCGGGAGACCUUCACCUCCAUCAGCGUCAACAACUGCCCCGGCCUCCGGUAUUUCAGCAGGACCGUCUACCACGGCCUCAUCCUUGUAUCCGCCUCCGUCAUGGUCUCCAUCGUCUGCUGGAUGGUGCACACCAGGCAGCGCAGCCUUCGCGGCAAGCAGGAGUGA